GACGAACGCUGGCGGCGUGCCUAACACAUGCAAGUCGAACGAAAAGUCCGGGCCUUGUGGCGCACGGCGGCGUACGGCGUGGGGACCUGCACUUGGGUUCGGAAUACCUCCCCGAAAGGGAUGCUAAUGCCGGAUAAUGUCUUCGGACCAAAGAUUUAUUGCCUUUGGAUGGGCCCUAGUUGGAUUCGGUGGUUGGUAGGGUAAAAGCAUACCAAGGGCAGGAUCCAUAGCUGGGAUGAGAGGAUGAUCAGCCACACUGGGACGCAGACACGGCCCAGAAUCUUACGGAAGGGAGGAGAGGGUAACAGUGGACGAGGGGGGAAGGCCUGAUCCAGCCAUGCCGGGUAAGUGAUGAUGGCCGUAGGGAUGUAAAGUUCUUUUACCCGGGAUGAUAAUGACAGUACCGGGAGAAUAAGCUCCGGCUAACUACGUG
rnacentral:rRNA from 1 species